UGAAUAUAACCAUUUGUACCGUAGACAGCAGGAGCGCAUGCCGCUUAAAUAUUCCUGCCGAGGACAAGACGCUCUUUUUCUUUUAAAAGAUGACGACUUUUCAGCCCUCAGUCUACUUAGGUAGAUUGAGGGCUUUUCAUACCGGUAU
rfam:Sporosarcina psychrophila strain DSM 6497, complete genome.